AACCAGACUCCUACGGGAGGCAGCAGUGGGGAAUAUUGCACAAUGGGGGAAACCCUGAUGCAGCGACGCCGCGUGAGUGAAGAAGUAAUUCGUUACGUAAAGCUCUAUCAGCAGGGAAGAAACACUGACCUUACGGUCAGCAGACGGUACCUGAGUAAGAAGCCCCGGCUAACUACGUGCCAGCAGCCGCGGUAAUACGUAGGGGGCAAGCGUUAUCCGGAUUUACUGGGUGUAAAGGGAGCGUAGACGGCGAUACAAGUCUGAAGUGAAAGCCCGGGGCUCAACCCCGGGACUGCUUUGGAAACUGUGUUACUGGAGUGCUGGAGAGGCAAGCGGAAUUCCUAGUGUAGCGGUGAAAUGCGUAGAUAUUAGGAAGAACACCAGUGGCGAAGGCGGCUUGCUGGACAGUAACUGACGUUGAGGCUCGAAAGCGUGGGGAGCAAACAGGAUUAGAUACCCCCGUA
rnacentral:rRNA from 1 species